UACGUAGGGUGCGAGCGUUGCCCGGAUUUAUUGGGCGUAAAGGGCGCGUAGGCGGCUCGGCACGUCCGUUGUGAAAUCGCCCGGCUCAACUGGGCGGGGUCAGCGGAUACGGUCGAGCUUGAGCAAGCUAGGGGGUAAUGGAAUUCCCGGUGUAGUGGUGGAAUGCGUAGAUAUCGGGAGGAACACCUAUGGCGAAGGCAGCUCGCUGGGACGUUACUGACGCUGAGACGCGAAAGCGUGGGGAGCAAACAGG
rnacentral:rRNA from 1 species